rnacentral:rRNA from 1 species
AUUGAACGCUGGCGGCAUGCUUUACACAUGCAAGUCGAACGGCAGCGCGGGCUUCGGCCUGGCGGCGAGUGGCGAACGGGUGAGUAAUGCAUCGGAACGUGCCCAGUAGUGGGGGAUAGCCCGGCGAAAGCCGGAUUAAUACCGCAUACGACCUGAGGGUGAAAGCGGGGGACCGAAAGGCCUCGCGCUAUUGGAGCGGCCGAUGUCGGAUUAGCUAGUUGGUGGGGUAAAGGCUUACCAAGGCGACGAUCCGUAGCUGGUCUGAGAGGACGACCAGCCAAACUGGGACUGAGACACGGCCCAGACUCCUACGGGAGGCAGGAGGGGGGAAUUUUGGACAAUGGGGGCAACCCUGAUCCAGCCAUGCCGCGUGCGGGAAGAAGGCCUUCGGGUUGUAAACCGCUUUUGUUCGGGAAGAAAACCUCUGGGCUAAUACCCCGGGGGGAUGACGGUACCGGAAGAAUAAGCACCGGCUAACUACGUG